UACGUAGGGGGCAAGCGUUGUCCGGAAUCAUUGGGCGUAAAGCGCGUGUAGGCGGCUCGAUAAGUCCGGUGUGAAACCUUGGGGCUCAACCCCAAGCCUGCACUGGAUACUGUCGAGCUCGAGUCCGGGAGGGGAGAGCGGAAUUCCUAGUGUAGCGGUGAAAUGCGCAGAUAUUAGGAAGAACACCGGUGGCGAAGGCGGCUCUCUGGAACGGUACUGACGCUGAGA
rnacentral:rRNA from 1 species